AGCUUUGUCCUUGCCUCGAGCCACAGCUGCCUUUACCUCUGCUAGGGUUUGGAGAAAUCGCAGUCUAGCAAGUUCAGCCGCAUUUGUUCCGUUCCGCUUCGCUAAGCCGUUCCUUGGGCUACUGUCCUUCGCCGCUCGAGUAUCGGAAGCUCUAGCUCGCAUCUCCCAGAUGGGCGAGGUUCUCGUGGUCAGCAAGGGAGCGGUGAUUCAGUAGCUUAGCCAUCUGGGCUGGAGGCAUUUUAUUUACGAUUUCUUUAGGGCUACGACCCCUGUAUCAUCUUAUGAUUCCUUACUCUACACUCUUUGUCAGAUUGUAUCUGUUUUAUGUUGGCAUCGUGGUGUGCCGGGUUGUAGGGGUUGUGUUAAGGACCCCAAGACUACGCUGCUAUAC